UCCGCCCCUUACGUGUAUGGUGCCCUCCUGCUUAUCUGUCGGAGGGUGAAACGGGAAGCCGGUGACGUGGGAGAUUGCAUCUCUUGCCAGUCCGGCGCAGCCCCCGCUGCUGUAAGCCUGACGAAUUUGUCCAAAUGCCACUGUGCCACUGCAUGGGAAGGUAAGGACAGAGGAGGAUGAAGGCGAGCCAGAAUACCGGCCAUGCGCGUUGAUUGAUG
rnacentral:ncRNA from 2 species